rnacentral:rRNA from 1 species
GACGUAGGGGGCAAGCGUUGUCCGGAAUUAUUGGGCGUAAAGCGCUCGUAGGCGGAUCGGUAAGUCUGUGAAGAAAGACCCGGGCUCAACUCGGGGAACGGCAUAGAUACUGCUGAUCUUGAGACAGUCAGAGGAUGAUGGAAUUCCAGGUGUAGCGGUGAAAUGACGUAGAUAUCUGGAGGAACACCAGUGGCGAAGGCGAUCAUCUGGGGCUGUUCUGACGCUGAGGAGCGAAAGCUAGGGGAGCAAACGGG